GCAAGCCUGACGGAGCAAUACCGCGUGAGGGAGGAAGGCCUUUGGGUUGUAAACCUCUUUUCUUAAGGAAGAAGAUCUGACGGUACUUAAGGAAUCAGCAUCGGCUAACUCCGUGCCAGCAGCCGCGGUAAUACGGAGGAUGCAAGCGUUAUCCGGAAUUAUUGGGCGUAAAGCGUCCGCAGGCGGCAUUAUAAGUCUGCUGUCAAAGACCGCAGCUCAACUGCGGAAAGGCAGUGGAAACUGUAAAGCUAGAGUACGGUAGGGGUAGAGGGAAUUCCCAGUGUAGCGGCGAAAUGCGUAGAUAUUGGGAAGAACACCAGUGGCGAAAGCGCUCUACUGGGCCGUAACUGACGCUCAGGGACGAAAGCUAGGGGAGCG
rnacentral:rRNA from 1 species